GAUGAAGAACGUAGCGAAAUGCGAUACGUAGUGUGAAUUGCAGAAUUCAGUGAAUCAUCGAAUCUUUGAACGCACAUUGCACCUCUCGGUAUUCCGGGAGGUAUGCCUGUUCGAGCGUCAUUUGUACCCUCAAGCUCUGCUUGGUGUUGGGUGUUUGUUCCGCCUCUGUGUGUGAACUCGACUCAAAACAAUUGGCAGCCGGCGUACUUGUUUCGGAGCGCAGCACAUUUUGCGAUCCAGAUCAACGUACAGCGGCAUCCAAGAAGCCUUAUUUAACGCUCUUGACCUCGGAUCAGGUAGGGAUACCCGCUGAACUUAAGCAUAUCAAUAAGCGGAGGA
rnacentral:misc_RNA from 1 species